AACGAUGUGGGAAGGCCCAGACAGCCAGGAUGUUGGCUUAGAAGCAGCCAUCAUUUAAAGAAAGCGUAAUAGCUCACUGGUCGAGUCGGCCUGCGCGGAAGAUGUAACGGGGCUAAACCAUGCACCGAAGCUGCGGCAGCGACACUCAGGUGUUGUUGGGUAGGGGAGCGUUCUGUAAGCCUGCGAAGGUGGCCUGUGAGGGUUGCUGGAGGUAUCAGAAGUGCGAAUGCUGACAUAAGUAACGAUAAAGCGGGUGAAAAGCCCGCUCGCCGGAAGACCAAGGGUUCCUGUCCAACGUUAAUCGGGGCAGGGUGAGUCGACCCCUAAGGCGAGGCCGAAAGGCGUAGUCGAUGGGAAACGGGUUAAUAUUCCCGUACUUGGUGUUACUGCGAAGGGGGGACGGAGAAGGCUAUGUUGGCCGGGCGACGGUUGUCCCGGUUUAAGCGUGUAGGUGUGUGUUCCAGGUAAAUCCGGUUCACUUUAACACUGAGGCGUGAUGACGAGGCACUACGGUGCUGAAGCAACAAAUGCCCUGCUUCCAGGAAAAGCCUCUAAGCAUCAGGUAACAUCAAAUCGUACCCCAAACCGACACAGGUGGUCAGGUAGAGAAUACCAAGGCGCUUGAGAGAACUCGGGUGAAGGAACUAGGCAAAAUGGUGCCGUAACUUCGGGAGAAGGCACGCUGACACGUAGGUGAAGUGAUUUACUCAUGGAGCUGAAGUCAGUCGAAGAUACCAGCUGGCUGCAACUGUUUAUUAAAAACACAGCACUGUGCAAACACGAAAGUGGACGUAUACGGUGUGACGCCUGCCCGGUGCCGGAAGGUUAAUUGAUGGGGUCAGCGCAAGCGAAGCUCCUGAUCGAAGCCCCGGUAAACGGCGGCCGUAACUAUAACGGUCCUAAGGUAGCGAAAUUCCUUGUCGGGUAAGUUCCGACCUGCACGAAUGGCGUAAUGAUGGCCAGGCUGUCUCCACCCGAGACUCAGUGAAAUUGAACUCGCUGUGAAGAUGCAGUGUACCCGCGGCAAGACGGAAAGACCCCGUGAACCUUUACUAUAGCUUGACACUGAACAUUGAGCCUUGAUGUGUAGGAUAGGUGGGAGGCUUUGAAGUGUGGACGCCAGUCUGCAUGGAGCCGGCCUUGAAAUACCACCCUUUAAUGUUUGAUGUUCUAACGUGGACCCGUGAUCCGGGUUGCGGACAGUGUCUGGUGGGUAGUUUGACUGGGGCGGUCUCCUCCUAAAGAGUAACGGAGGAGCACGAAGGUUGGCUAAUCCUGGUCGGACAUCAGGAGGUUAGUGCAAUGGCAUAAGCCAGCUUGACUGCGAGCGUGACGGCGCGAGCAGGUGCGAAAGCAGGUCAUAGUGAUCCGGUGGUUCUGAAUGGAAGGGCCAUCGCUCAACGGAUAAAAGGUACUCCGGGGAUAACAGGCUGAUACCGCCCAAGAGUUCAUAUCGACGGCGGUGUUUGGCACCUCGAUGUCGGCUCAUCACAUCCUGGGGCUGAAGUAGGUCCCAAGGGUAUGGCUGUUCGCCAUUUAAAGUGGUACGCGAGCUGGGUUUAGAACGUCGUGAGACAGUUCGGUCCCUAUCUGCCGUGGGCGCUGGAGAACUGAGGGGGGCUGCUCCUAGUACGAGAGGACCGGAGUGGACGCAUCACUGGUGUUCGGGUUGUCAUGCCAAUGGCACUGCCCGGUAGCUAAAUGCGGAAGAGAUAAGUGCUGAAAGCAUCUAAGCACGAAACUUGCCCCGAGAUGAGUUCUCCCUGAGACUUUAGGUCUCCUGAAGGAACGUUGAAGACGACGACGUUGAUAGGCCGGGUGUGUAAGCGCAGCGAUGCGUUGAGCUAACCGGUACUAAUGAACCGUGAGGCUUAACCUUACA
rnacentral:rRNA from 1 species